rnacentral:rRNA from 1 species
GACGGACGGUGCAAGCGUUGCUCAGAAUCACUGGGCGUAAAGGGUGCGUAGGCGGCUUGGUAAGUUGGGUGUGAAAGCCCCGGGCUCAGCCCGGGAAGGGCACUCGAAACUGCCGAGCUGGAGUGCCGGAGGGGAGAGUGGAAUUCCUGGUGUAGCGGUGAAAUGCGUAGAUAUCAGGAGGAAUACCGGUGGCGAAAGCGACUCUCUGGACGGCAACUGACGCUGAGGCACGAAAGCGUGGGGAGCAAACAGG